rnacentral:rRNA from 1 species
GACGUACGCUGGCGGCGUGCUUAACACAUGCAAGUCGAACGGAAAGGCCCUGCUUUUGUGGGGUGCUCGAGUGGCGAACGGGUGAGUAACACGUGAGUAACCUGCCCUUGACUUUGGGAUAACUUCAGGAAACUGGGGCUAAUACCGGAUAGGAGCUCCUGCUGCAUGGUGGGGGUUGGAAAGUUUCGGCGGUUGGGGAUGGACUCGCGGCUUAUCAGCUUGUUGGUGGGGUAGUGGCUUACCAAGGCUUUGACGGGUAGCCGGCCUGAGAGGGUGACCGGCCACAUUGGGACUGAGAUACGGCCCAGACUCCUACGGGAGGCAGAAGUGGGGAAUAUUGCACAAUGGGCGGAAGCCUGAUGCAGCAACGCCGCGUGCGGGAUGACGGCCUUCGGGUUGUAAACCGCUUUCGCCUGUGACGAAGCGUGAGUGACGGUAAUGGGUAAAGAAGCACCGGAUAACUACGUG